GGGCUUGGCCUUCGGUGAU
rnacentral:siRNA from 1 species